rnacentral:rRNA from 1 species
AAUCUUCCGCAAUGUUCGAAAGGCAGACGGAGCGACGCCGCGUGAGUGAUGUAUGUCUACGGAUCGUAAAACUCUGUUGUUAGGGAAGAAUAAGUAUCGACCGAAUAAGUCGGUACCUUGACGCUACCUAACCAGAAAGCCACUGCUAACUACGUGUCAGCAGCCGCGGUAAUACGUAGGGGGCGAGCGUUGUCCGGAAUCAUUGGGCGUAAAGGGCGCGCAGGCGGUCUACUAAGUCUGAUGUGAAAUCUCGUAGCUUAACUACGAGCGGUCAUUGGAAGCUGGGAGACUUGAGGACAGAAGAGGAGAGUGGAAUUCCACGUGUAGCGGUGAAAUGCGUAGAGAUGUGGAGGAACACCAGUGGCGAAGGCGACUCUCUGGUCUGUAACUGACGCUGAGGCGCGAAAGCGUGGGGAGCGAACA